rnacentral:sRNA from 1 species
GCCGUUUGGCCGCGGGGCGCCUGGCUCAGCGGCUUCUGCGGGCUGCGAGGAGCGGGAUGUUGCGGGCUGGGUGGCUCCGGGGCGCCGCGGCGCUGGCGCUGCUGCUGGCGGCCCGAGUGGUGGCAGCGUUCGAGCCCAUCACCGUGGGCCUAGCCAUCGGGGCGGCGUCGGCCAUCACCGGCUACCUGUCCUACAAUGACAUCUACUGCCGCUUCGCCGAGUGCUGCCGGGAGGAGCGGCCGCUCAACGCUUCGGCUCUCAAGCUGGAUUUGGAGGAGAAGCUGUUUGGACAGCAUCUAGCCACGGAAGUGAUUUUCAAGGCGCUGACUGGCUUCAGGAACAACAAAAAUCCCAAGAAACCACUGACCCUUUCCUUACACGGCUGGGCUGGCACAGGCAAGAAUUUUGUCAGUCAAAUUGUGGCUGAAAAUCUUCACCCAAAAGGUCUGAAGAGUAACUUUGUCCACCUGUUUGUAUCGACUCUGCACUUCCCUCAUGAGCAGAAGAUAAAACUGUACCAGGCAAGAGAACCCGCUAUUAUCUCGUCCGCAGGCCAGUCGGACUGGUCCGGGUGACCUGCUCACUAACUCUGGCCUCUGCUUCUCUUUCCUUUGUGUUGCUGUAGCCCCCGGCUCCACUGAGUUAAGGCACACUUAGUCCAGG